rnacentral:lncRNA from 1 species
CCACCCUCCUCUGCCACCCAAAGUGCUAGGAUUAUAGGCACGAGCCACUGUGCCCAGCCUGGAACGGAUCUCUAUUAGUGGUUCUCCAAUGUGUUUAGGUAGCACGACUGCUGGCAUUAAGGAAGGAAACACCAAUAUUCUACUGGUGGGUAUUUAAAGACGGGAACCAUUCUGAAAAGCAAUCUGGCAGAUGGAAAAAAAAAUCACAUUAUAAGAUGCUCAUUUCAGCAGUAUUUAAAACAGCCAAAAUCCCUGUGAACAACCUGAGAGGGAUGUUUAAAUUAUGAUCUAUGCAGACAUUAAUAAUGAGUCUAUAAAAUAAGGACACACACAAAGAUGUUGACUGUAUUUUUUUUCUAAAAAAAAAAGCAACAAGCUAGCUAGCAUUUGGAUUAUUUGCAUGAACCAAGUUUAGAAAAAAUUUAAACAUUCUGGUAGACUAUAAUACACUAAAGUGUCUAGAUGGUACGUUAGGCAUGUAUGAUGUCUAUCUUCUUUUUGCUUGUCUAUACCUACAAUUUUUUGGCCUAUCUAUAUCUAAUUUUUCUUAAACGAAGAUGUAUUACUUAUACAAGGAAAAAAACCCCAAUUAGUUGCUAUGCAACCAACUAGAAUAUCCAAUUGAGCUCAAAAUUACAUCACAGUAGACACAACAAAAGAGGUCAAAAGCUGGGGAGGGGGUGCGGAUCAAAAAAAGAUGGAAGUUAAAGACAAUCUACAUUUUUUCUCAGUAAAUUGGGACUACGUAAAGACUUUUAUUUUGGUAUAUGAAAUGUCACAGUCCAGCAUAUAGCACACCAGCAUUUCGCAGGUGCAUAGACUGCAAGCCACAGUAAGGAACUGCUUGGCUUUCUAACUUUGAAUGAAAAACUCAGAGCUGAUAGGAAGGCUGACUGUCCCCAGAUGCGUGGUUAAUGAGGUGCUUCUAACAGAGCGACAUGUUCAGUUUACUGGAAGGAUAAGAAUCUCACAUAAAGAACAGGGCAUCCUGUUCAUACAACAACAGUAUACCUUCAACAAGGGAAACGAUUCUUCAUGUUACCCCACACGACAAGUCUGCAGGAUCCCAGAGGCCAAGCCUACUGUGUAACAGCUGACAAUGCCAUCAAUUUCUGUGGUGUUUAUGGCAUGUUCCAGCACAUCACACAUAAGGUAUCAUGUGACUAGCUGAAUGUGAUUUUAAGAGAGUGAUCUCCAAACUUUUCAUUUGCCUUAAGGAUGACGCCUCUGUGCGAAAACACUUUAAA